rnacentral:rRNA from 1 species
UAAGACGGAGGGGGCUAGCGUUGUUCGGAAUUACUGGGCGUAAAGCGUGCGUAGGCGGCCAUUCAAGUUGGGUGUGAAAGCCCGGGGCUCAACCCCGGAAAUGCGCCCAAGACUGUCUGGCUAGAGUCCGGGAGAGGUGAGUGGAACUCCGAGUGUAGAGGUGAAAUUCGUAGAUAUUCGGAAGAACACCAGUGGCGAAGGCGGCUCACUGGACCGGUACUGACGCUGAGGCACGAAAGCGUGGGGAGCAAACAGGAUUAGAUACCCUGGUAGUCCACGCCGUAAACUAUGAGAGCUAGACGUUGGGGGGCUUGCCCCCCUGUGUCGCAGCUAACGCGUGAAGCUCUCCGCCUGGGGAGUACGGCCGCAAGGUUA